GCCAUGAUCAUGCCACUGCACUCCAGCCUGGGCAACAGAGUGAGCCCCUGUCUCAAUUUUUUAAAAAAUUAUAUUGAACAGUUGCCUUUAUAAACAAAGAUUACAAAGCAAAAAUAUACAAACAGGAGAAAGAUUAGGAAGGGAUAUAAAAACGGGAGAUAGAAAACUGAAACCUGUUAAACUUGAGUACUAGGCCAAAAAGGCCAUAGUAGAAAAACUUUGUCACAGAAAUGGUGACAAAAUUGGAAGGAGCAGCAAGAGGAACAUAGCACAAACACAGAAAGGGACAUACAGGACAGAAGUAAUGAGUGACUAAAAUAAAAUAGAGAGUUAAAGAAAAAUUGAAGAUAAUAGGUUAGAGAGGAACAUAUUUUAAGCUCUAGAUUAAAAUAAAUAAGAUUUGAGUCUUAUUCUAUUUCUUUAAAAUAUAUUUUGUUAAAAGGGUGCACUGUGUGCCAUAGAAAACUGAUCCAGAACAGCCAAUAGCAAUGUUUAUUCAAGCAAAAUUACUCAGUUUUUAAAAGAAAGUCUCAGAGAGUGAGACUCCAUCUUGGGAAAAAAAAAAAAAAUAUAUAUAUAUAUAUAUAUUAACAAAGAAAAAAGAUACCUUAAUUAUACAGAAAAGCAGUAGAAAUAAUGAAUCCAAAAGUUGAGUUUGAGGCAUAUAUCAAUGAAAUAGAUACGUCAUUAACUAACCUAAUAAAGGAAAAGGAGAUCCCCAAAAUAAAAUUCAAAAGGCAGGGGGACUUAAGAAUUGAUACUUUUCUUAACACAAUAACACACACACAUCACUUAGCAGAAAAGCCAGGACCUUACUAGGUGCCUUCUAGAUGCUUUUCCACUCAAGUCGAGAACCAGCCAAGAAUGUCCACUAUAUCUCCUACUACUCAACGUGAGUUUGAAUGUAUUAAUAUAGACAAAGAAAACAAAGGCAUUCAGACUGCCUACUAUAUCUAAUAAAAUUGUAUGUCUGGAAAACCCAAAAGAAUCCAUGGAAAAGCAGCUACAAAGAGUUAGAGAAUGUAGCCACAUAACACGAAAAGUUAACACACAUGUAAAAGUAAUAUUCCAGUUAGGAUGUAGUAGAUCAAGGCAGGUCAGUGCAUUACAAUAACUUGAAUGAACCAGAUAAACUUCUAUAGUCAUGUUUUUAAAGCUAUCACAGAACUAGGCAAGCAACAAAAUGUGAAAGAACUUAAAUGCUAGUGGCAGAAGAACCUUUCCAAAGUGAGCUGAUGAUUGCCACCUGUGUCUCCCUGCCUGCUUCAUGCCCCAGCAUUUGUUGAUUCCAGGUACGAGCUAAGAACUGGCCUUAACCUAGGGAGGAAGCCAUUACUGAGGAAAAAGCGAAAUAGUAAAGCUUUUAGCAGUUGUUCAAGGUGGAAUUAACAGAUUAGAAAUCAAACACAUGACCAGUUGUUUUCCAAGGAGCAUUUGAGGAGAGCUAAGACCGCACAGGAGUCUGGGAGAUCAGGCUCAAAACUUCGGAAGGGUAAAGUGAAGUCUCUCCAUCUCACACUGCUUAGGAAAUAAGGAGAGGCUGGGUGGCAGAGCCAGACAGAAGCAUACGGCUGAUUUUUCCCCCCAGGACUUUUAUCUUGUUGCUAUCUGGAUGGGAGACUGAAGUAAGCUGGAGACCUCUAACAGGAAAAAGUCUUUAGGGCUGAGGAGACAGACAACUGAGGUCAUUCCUAUUCCUUCGGACUGAGCUGAGUCAGAUUCAAUUGAGUCUUGAGUCUUGCUAAACUGCAUGCCUCAACCCAACUCAUUAUCGGGCAGGAAUGAGUUGAUCAGUCCUACAACUUCUUUGCUUAAUAGAAUGAAGGGAAAAACUGCCCUAAUGAUGUAUAAUAUCUGGAGCCCCUGUGGUUCUUUUAUACACAAAGACCAGUUUUUAGACAGUUUUUAGAAAAAAUACUAGAUAUGCAAAGAAGCAAGAAUGUAUGGUUGACAACAAAGCAUAGUGCAGACAAUAGGAGCAGAUUUACAGAUAAUAGAGAUAUUAUAGUUAGUAGACAAGGACUUUAAGAUAAUUACAAUUAAUGUGUUCACAAAAAUAAAGGAAAAGAUGAAUAGAUGAAAAGAAAUACCUUUUCACCAGAGAACCAGAAACUAUUUUAAAAAUUAUAUCAGCAUUCUAGAACUUAAAAAUACAGUAAUGACAACUCUUUGAAUCAGGGUUUAAUAUCAGAUUGAACAGAGCACAGUCCAGAAUUGGUGAACUAGAAAAAUAGGCAGACAGGACCACAGAGGAAAUAAGUGAGUGUGGGGAUUGAUAAGAGCAUAAAAAACAGGCUGGAAAAACUCCAAAGAUGUAACAUACAUAUCAUUAGGGUCUUGGAGAUGUAGAAGUAAGAGAAUCGGGCAGAAGUGAUAUUUGAAGAAAUAGGCUAGAAUUUUCCAAAAUGGAUGAAAGGUAGCCUACAGAUUCUAGACGCUCAGCAGAUCCCCAAGCAGAAUAGGUGCAAUGAAAAGCCCACCUAGGAACGUUAAAAGCUUAAGAAGUAGCCCAGAGGAAAAAUAUCAUUUCUGUAUCAGCUACCUAUUGUUAAAAACAGAUGGCUGUUUAGCAGCCAUUUAUUUAUUUGCAGUCCUACCAGGCACUUCUGCUGGGCUCACAUGAAGUCACUUAUGUUGCUCGGGCUACUUACCCAAGAUCUCUUCACUCUCAUGUUUGGUGCCUCUGGGGAAGCCUGGAAGAGUGGGAGCUGUCCAGGCUCCAUCUCUACGUGGUCUCUUAAGCACCGUGGGAUCCUUCCAAGUCCAUCUGGUCUGUCCAGCUCCACGUGGUCCCUCUGGCAUAGUGAUAAGCACAUGAUGGGUCAGGGCUUCAGAAGGGUAAAAAACAGAAUCUGCCCAGCGUCUCAAAGCCUGGAAACUGAUAAGCAUCAUUUCAACUGCGUUCUUGUGGUCAAAGCCAGUCAUCACAAAGUCAGCUGAGAUUCAAGGAAACGGAUAGGACUUCACUUCUUGGUAAGACAUGGGUGAGGAGGAGGGCAGCAUAGAAUUUUAGGGCAUCCCUCAAUACCUGAGCCUUCUUAUGGGCUCAAAUUGUUUAAAUUCCUCCCACAUGCAAAAUAAUACCCACCUCAAGAACCCCACAGUCCCAUCCAAUUGUGGCAUCAGGCUCAGAGUCUACCCGUAUACAGUAGUUCCCCCUCAACUGUGGUUUCCCCUUCCACGGUUUUCAGUUACCCACAGUCAGCUGAGCCUCAAAAAUAGAUGAGUAUGGUAUAAGACAUUUUGAAAUAGAGAAAGAUACAGGCCACAUCCCCAUAACUUCUAUUAUAGUAUAUUUUAUAAUUGUUCUGUAUUAUUAUUGUUAAUCUCUUACUGUGUGUAAUUUAUAAAUUAAACUUUAUUAUAGGAAAAAAUAAUAGUGUUCGUUUAUAAAGUUCAGCACUAUCUACAGUUUCAAGCAUCUGCUGAGGGUCUUGGAACAUAUUCCCCUCAGAUCAGAAAGGAUUCCUGUGUUUGGAAGAGGCUCCUCAGAUACAGCUUCUCUUUACCUGUAAACCCAUGAAUUAAAAAAAAAAAGAAGUUAUUGGUCCCACCCACCCCCACAUGUACAACCUAUGUUGUUAUGGCAAGGAUACGAUGUCACAUCAAUUGACUAAAUUUACAAGAGAGGAAAUUGAAGGCAUGUGGCUAUCCCAUGGCAGUUGUGAAAUCCAUCUGGCUAUAUGUCACCAAUUCCCUCAAUUCCAGGGGUAGGGAACAUUUGAUUAGUCUAUUUUGGUUCUCUGAAGUUGGCUCCCUUUUUUGUUUCUCAGUCCUUGACUUUUUCCUCAGAGCUGAGAAAUGUCCUGUUUUUGUAGCUGAAUAGCUUUCUCAGCCUGCUUCUAGACUCUGUCCCAGCUGGCACAGUUAUCCACUCUGGCACAACUUCUUUAAAAAGCUUUGUGGACUUUUAAAUUAUAAACCACUCACUCCACCAGAGAGAAGCCACAUCCACAGAUUUCUUCAAGAAGUCCCCUAUGCACUUUGAAUGUGAGUCAGGGAUGAUACCUUUAAGAGUCUUUUAUGCCUUUUGUCUAACUGAGAGCGUCUGCUAGGCAGUGGCUUAAAUCUUUCUGAAGUACAGGUGGUCCUCAGCUUAGGAUUUUUCAACUUAGAAUUCUUUUACUUUAGGAUAGUCUGAAAGCGAUAUGCAUUCAGUAGCAACCAUACUUCAAGUACUCAUAGAGCCAUUCUGUUUUUUACAUUCAGUGCAGUAUCCAGUAAAUCAUGAGAUAUUCAGCACUUCAUUAUAAAAUAGGCUUUGUGUGAGAUGAUUUUGUUUAACUAUGGCACAAUGUAAGUGUUCUGAGCACAUUUAAGCAAUGACAGACCAAGCUAUGAUGAGGUUAGGUAUACUGAAUGCAUUUCAACUUAAUAUUUUCAGCUUACAAUGGGAUUAUCAAGAUGUAACCCCAUUGUAAGUCAGGGAGCAUCUGUAUUAGUAACAAGGUCAUAUUGCCAUGCCCUUUAUUUUAUCUUGACCGUGAGAUCAUAGUCUUACUGCCAACACCUUGAUUUUUUUUUUUUUUUUUUAACUUCAGAACCUUUUGCUGGAGAAGCUGGUACUGAGAAAGUUUUAUUUUAUAACCUUGCAUGUCCCAGGUUGAAAGUAUUUUCCCCUAAAUUCUGCCUGAAAACUGUACAGUUCCUUGUUUAGUUCUUCUCUCUUUUAAUACCUUAUUAUAGGUGUUUUUUGAAAAAUUGCUUAUCACUUUCAGCAUUCUUCCUGGAAACCUUAGCCAGAUCUAUAAUUUCAUUAGGUCCUUUUUCUGUCUUCCAGGAUACAGUUGCACUUGUUUUGUCAGUAGAUUACAUGGCUUCUGUCCAGCCUGAAAUAGCAGUUUCCUUGGUGGCUUUCUAGCCUCCAUUAGUAGUUUCAUUGCUGCCCUUCCACCAAAUUGUCUAUAACCCAGUCCCAAAACUAGUGCUACUUGUUUUAAGCUUCUAUCAUGACAAUGCUCUAUUUUAAUACCAAAUACUGUUUCAGUUAUCUUUUUCUCCCUAACACAUUACCCCAAAAUUUACUACCUUAAUGAAACAAAACUAUUCUUCACUUAAGAGUCUACAGUCUGAACUGGACUCAGCUGGGCAUCUCUUCUGGUCUCACCUGGAGUCAUUUAUGCAACUGCAGACAUGUGGGGACUUCAUUGGGGCUUGCCACCAAAGAUGGCUUUACUCAAAUGUCUGGUGCCUCAACUGGGGUGGCUGCAUUAGCUGGGGCACAGCUGACAAUUCCCUCUCCAGCAGGGUGCUGAGCCUUUUCACGUGAUGGCUGAGGGCUCCAAGAGGGUGAAAGCAGAAGCAUCCGGGCCAGGCCUCUUAGAGCCUGUGCAUAAAACCGAAGCAGCACUACUUCAUUCGUGCUGCCUUUCAAAGCAAGUCCUGGGGCCUGCCCAAAAUUACAGGCAGGGGAAAUAUCCUCUACCUGAUGGUAGUGACAAAGAGUAUGUGACCCAUCUUAAAUUCACCAGUUGCCUUCACAGUUGCAACAAUGAGACCGUUAGCUUCUGAAGAGAAAUGAUAGAAACUAGAAGCCAUUGUAACAACAUGUUUCAAGGGCUAGAAUAAGAAAACUGCAAGCUUAGAAUUCUAAACCAGCAAAAAUAUUCUUAAAACAGAGAGGAUUGCACACCAGUCGGCCUGCACUGAAAAAUUAAAGGAAGUUCAUCAGGAAAAUCAUCCCAGAUAGAAAUGAGGACUUGGAAGAAAGAAUGAAGAACGCUGGGAAGCAUAUGUAAAUGAAUAGUAACUGUACAAAAUAAUAAUUGUACACCCUGAGGAGUUUCAAUUUUAUGUACUGCAUAUCUAAAAUUCAUGGUAACAAUAACGUAAAUGAUGAGAAGGAAGCAAAUGGAGUUUAAAAGUCCUAAGGCUUAAUUGGUAUCAGCCAAGUAGUAAAAGUAAUAAUUUACAUUGGCUUUAAUAAGUAAAAAAGCAUGUUUUAAGCUCUAGGCUAACAACUAAAAAUUAUUUUAAAAUGUCACUUAAUAGAAGGAAAAUGGAAUCAUAUAGAACAUUUGAUUAAUCCAGAGGAAGUCAAGGCACGUAAACUUACAUAAAAGUAGAACACAAAUAGUAAAAUGGCAAAUAUAGACCCAAGUACAUCAGCAGUUAAAUGGAGAAAGACUGUGUAAUUUAAGAAUUAAACAUGGGCUAGAUUUUUUUUUAAACCCAGCUAUAUAGCUACACUCUUGUCAGAGAAAGUAAACUUUAAAAUAAGAAGCAUUAGUUGAGUUAAAGUGGAAUGUUUUAUAACGAUAAAGGGAUCUGUGGCAGGCUGAAUAGCGCCCCCCACAAAGAUAUCCAUGUUCUAAUCCCUGGAACCUGUAAAAAUUAUAUACAUACACAGUAUGGAAAGAAGAGGACUUUGCAGAUAAAAUUGAGGAUCUAGAGAGGGAGCAAUUAUCCUGGAUUAUCCAGGUGGAUCCUAAAACCAAUCACAUGUAUUCUUAUAAAGAAGGAGAGAGUACAGUAUUCAGUAAAUCAUGAGAUAUUCAGCACUUCAUUAUAAAAUAGGCUUUGUGCAAGAUUUAAUCCAGAAGAGGAGAAGGCCAUGUGACACUAAAGACAGAGGUAGAGCUAUGCAGCCACAAGCCAAGGAAUGCCAGCAGCCACAAAAAACCAGAAGAGGGAAGUAGCAGAUUCUCUACAUCCUCUGAAGGGAGCACAGCCCUGCUGACACAUUGACUUUGACUCAGUGAUAUUGAUUUUGGACCUCUUGUUUUCAGAGCUAUGAAAGAAUACAUUUUUAUUGUUUUAAACCCUAAGUAUGUGUUAAUCCAUCACAGUAGCUAUAGGAAAGUAAUGUAGAUUUAAUUGACAAGGUAGGUAUAUUCCAUAAACUGUAUGUACUUAAUAACAGCCUAAAAUAUAUAAGGUAAACAUUGACAUACCUGGCAAAGAAAAAGACAUAUUGCCAAUCGAAGUAAAUUUGAAGAAAGUUAUAAUAACUGAGAGCAGUUAUUAUUAUAGCAGACCAAAAAAUCACAAUUAGAAACCUGACCUAGUUGACAUAUGUAAGCACUGCAUCCAACAGUGACAAAAUUUAUUCUUUUACAUGCACAAGGAAGGAACAUUUAUCAUUUGUAAACUCAACAUAUGACUGAGCCAUACGAAAGGCCUCAACAAAUUUCCAGAGAUUGAAAUUACUUUGCAUGGAUAUUGACCAAAACAGAUUAAGCCAGAAAUCAGUACAAUUAUCAUACAAAAAUAAAUAGCUUCAAUAUAUACAACAAAAAAAGAGAAGUUGUAAGACAAUUUCAAAAGAAAAUACCUUAGGCAAAUUUUUCAUGUCUCCAAAAUUUAAAACUCUUCUGAAGAAUGCAAAACUAGGCUUGAACAAAUGGAAGACUUAACCAUGUUCUUGAACGUGAAGUCUCAGCAUCAUAUGUCAGUUCUUCUAAGUUAAUUUGUCAUUUUAAUGCAGUAACAAUAAAAAUGCUAUGUUUUUCUGAUGUCAGGCAAGCUAUUAAUAAUUGUAAGUUUAUCUCAAAGAACUAACAAUCAA